UAUUCGUUUUCCGCCGAACGAGACGGAGAAGGGCCGAGCAGCAGGGCAGCUGUCGAGUGUCGUCUUGGCACUUACAGUCCCAUAAAAGUGCAGUAAACGAGGCUCCUAAACGGCGGACACUGCAAGAUAAGGCAUCCCUUCCUCCUCUGCUCCUUCUCCUUGGGCAUGUUUAUUUCUCUCGCUCCCCACGUUGCUGUCUCUCUGGCUGUCUGCUGUGGCUGUGACCUGUCUGGGCUUUGACGCGUCUGUUUGCACCGCAUCUGAGGCGACGCUGCCUCCCACAUCCAGCAUAUACGACGCGCCGCUUUAUGUCCUCCAAGCCGGUGUAGGACUGCGCCAGAAACGCCGGCUGACGAACCCAACGUGUUCAACGUGUUUUGCAGGUCUGAGUGUGAAUUACCGUCUGCGGGGCGUGGCGAUUCUGAUCGGUACUGUAAGGCGGAAAAGGAGGAUGGCAGGGUGAAGGAGGAGGAGGAGGAAAAAAGGAAGGAAGAAGAAGGAAGAGAGGAGGGUGAUGGGUAUUCAUCAUGAAUGAUUUAUUAGUCUGGCAUUACUGGGCCCUUCCCCACAGAGAGACAGAGCAAGAGGAAGAUGGAGAGAUAAACUCAUGAAGGAUGGUGCCUUGAAGGGAAAAAUAGAAACUG